AUGAAGAUGGCGACUUGCAUUUGUAAGGUGGCCUCGGAGGAGUUUGGAGUGUCCAGGGGAAGGGGAAGCGAAGAUAAGGAUACCUGGUGGUGGAAUGAUGAUGUCAAGAAGGCGAUUAAAGAGAAGAAAGAUUGCUUCAGACGCCUAUACCUGGAUAGGAGUGCAAACAACAUAGAGAAGUACAAGAUGGCGAAGAAGGCCGCAAAGCGAGCUGUUGGUGAAGCAAGGGGUCAGGCAUAUGAGGACCUCUACCAACGGUUAGGCACGAAGGAAGGUGAAAGGGACAUCUAUAAGAUGGCUAAGAUCCGGGAGAGGAAGACGAGGGAUAUUGGCCAAGUCAAAUGCAUCAAGGACGGAGCAGGCCAACUCUUGGUGAAGGACGAAGAGAUUAAGCAUAGAUGGCGAGAGUACUUCGACAAGCUGUUCAAUGGGGAGAAUGAGAGUUCUACCAUUGAACUGGACGACUCCUUUGAUGAGACCAGCAUGCGUUUUGUGCGGCGCAUCCAGGAGCCUGAGGUGAAGGAGGCUUUAAAAAGGAUGAAAGGAGGCAAGGCGAUGGGCCCUGAUUGUAUCCCCAUUGAGGUGUGGAAAGGUCUCGGGGACAUAGCGAUAGUAUGGCUAACCAAGCUUUUAAACCUCAUUUUUCGGGCAAACAAGAUGCCAGAAGAAUGGAGACGGAGUAUAUUAGUACCAAUCUUCAAGAACAAGGGGGAUGUUCAGAGUUGUACUAAUUACCGUGGAAUUAAGCUGAUGAGCCAUACAAUGAAGCUAUGGGAGAGAGUCAUUGAGCACCGCUUAAGAAGAAUGACAAGCGUGACCAAAAAUCAGUUUGGUUUCAUGCCUGGGAGGUCGACCAUGGAAGCCAUUUUCUUGGUACGACAACUUAUGGAGAGAUAUAGGGAGAAAAAGAAGGACUUGCAUAUGCUGUUCAUUGACUUGGAGAAGGCCUAUGAUAAGAUACCGCAGAAUGUCAUGUGGUGGGCCUUGGAGAAACACAAAGUCCCAGCAAAGUACAUUACCCUCAUCAAGGACAUGUACAAUAAUGUUGUGACAAGUGUUCGAACAAGUGAUGUCGACACCGAUGUCUUCCCGAUUAAGAUAGGACUACAUCAGGGGUCAGCUUUGAGCCCUUAUCUUUUUGCAUUGGUGAUGGAUGAGGUCACAAGGGGUAUACAAGGAGAUAUCCCAUGGUCUAUGCUCUUUGCGGAUGAUAUGGUGCUAGUUGACGAUAGUCAGACGGGGGUAAAUAGGAAGUUAGAGUUAUGGAGACAAACCUUGGAAUCGAAAGGGUUUAGGCUUAGUAGAACUAAAACGGAGUACAUGAUGUGCAGUUUCAGUACUACUAGGUGUGAGGAGGAGGAGGUUAGCCUUGAUGGCCAGGUGGUACCUCGGAAGGACACCUUUCGGUAUUUGGUGUCAAUGUUGCAGGAGGAUGGGGGUAUUGAUGAAGAUGUGAACCAUCAAAUCAAAGACGAAUGGAUGAAGUGGCGCCAAGCUUCUAGCAUUCUCUGUGACAAGAGAGUGCCACAAAAGCUAAAAGGCAAGUUCUACAGGACGGCGGUUCGACCCGCAAUGUUGUAUGGCGCGGAGUGUUGGCCGACUAAGAGGCGACAUGUUCAACAGUUAGGUGUGGUGGAGAUGCGUAUGUUGAGAUGGAUGUGUGGCCACACGAGGAAGGAUCGAGUCCGGAAUGAUGAUAUACGAGAUAGAGUUGGGGUAGCACCAAUUGAGGAGAAGCUUGUCCAACAUCGUUUGAGAUGGUUUGGGCAUAUUCAGCGCAGGCGUCCAGAAGCUCCAGUGCAUAGCGGACGGCUAAAGCGUGCGGAGAAUGUCAAGAGAGGGCAGGGUUGA
rnacentral:rRNA from 1 species